rnacentral:rRNA from 1 species
GGGGUAAUGGCCUACCAUGGCUUCGACGGGUAGCCGGCCUGAGAGGGUGACCGGCCACACUGGGACUGAGACACGGCCCAGACUCCUACGGGAGGCAGCAGUGGGGAAUAUUGGACAAUGGGCGGAAGCCUGAUCCAGCAACGCCGCGUGAGGGAUGACGGCCUUCGGGUUGUAAACCUCUUUCAGUGCCGACGAAGCGAGAGUGACGGUAGGCGCAGAAGAAGCACCGGCCAACUACGUGCCAGCAGCCGCGGUAAUACGUAGGGUGCGAGCGUUGUCCGGAAUUAUUGGGCGUAAAGGGCUCGUAGGCGGUUUUUCGCGUCGGGAGUGAAAACACCGGGCUUAACUCGGUGCUGGCUUCCGAUACGGGCAGACUAGAGGUAUGCAGGGGAGAACGGAACUCCUGGUGUAGCGGUGAAGUGCGCAGAUAUCAGGAGGAACACCGGUGGCGAAGGCGGUUCUCUGG